rnacentral:rRNA from 1 species
UACUCCCUCUGGCGGCGUGCCUAAUACAUGCAAGUUGAGCGAUGAAGCUUGGUGCUUGCACCAAUUUGAAGAGCAGCGAACGGGUGAGUAACGCGUGGGGAAUCUGCCUUUGAGCGGGGGACAACAUUUGGAAACGAAUGCUAAUACCGCAUAACAACUUUAAACAUAAGUUUUAAGUUUGAAAGAUGCAAUUGCAUCACUCAAAGAUGAUCCCGCGUUGUAUUAGCUAGUUGGUGAGGUAAAGGCUCACCAAGGCGAUGAUACAUAGCCGACCUGAGAGGGUGAUCGGCCACAUUGGGACUGAGACACGGCCCAAACUCCUACGGGAGGCAGCAGUAGGGAAUCUUCGGCAAUGGACGACAGUCUGACCGAGCAACGCCGCGUGAGUGAAGAAGGUUUUCGGAUCGUAAAACUCUGUUGGUAGAGAAGAACGUUGGUGAGAGUGGAAAGCUCAUCAAGUGACGGUAACUACCCAGAAAGGGACGGCUAACUACGUG